GACGGGGGGUCCUAGCGUUGUUCGGAAUCAUUGGGCGUAAAGCGGGCGUAGGUGGCUAUGUAAGUCAGGAGUGAAAGCCCUGGGCUCAACCCAGGAAGUGCUUUUGAAACUGUGUAGCUUGAGUGUGGAAGAGGAUAGUGGAAUUCCUGGUGUAGUGGUGAAAUACGUAGAUAUCAGGAGGAACACCGGUGGCGAAGGCGGCUAUCUGGUCCAACACUGACACUGAGGCCCGAAAGCGUGGGGAUCAAACAGG
rnacentral:rRNA from 1 species